rnacentral:misc_RNA from 1 species
GACAACUUAAUAAGAAAUCAAAUUUAACAUCAAAUUGAUUUUUUUUUUCACAUUAUUUUAAUAAUAAAGCCAUAUCUAUAGGCCUUGGGCAACCAUAAGUAUACAGCAGUAGAUGGAAGAUACCGCUCGAAUAAGCUCGGUGGUGGUGCUGUCAAUUUCAACAAUGUAUAAAUUCACAACUGGCUACUCACUCAAAUCUAACCAACAUGAGGCUUAAUUGUACAAUUCUUGAAAAUACUUCGCACUUUUCUGGAAAAGAACACUUUUCAGUACAUGGAAAUUUCUUGAACUUAAAGAACACCAAAAAAUGGAUUAUUAAUUGCAGAAUUCAGCUCAGACCCAGCAGAAUUCAGCACUGCCGUCUCAACCUUGUCCCUUGGUAAGAAAAGGAACUCAUCCCCUUCAAUUUUCUCAAAACCGCAUAGCUCCAGAAACUCGACGCCCCCUUUCAAUGAACCAACUCUAUCCUGAAAGGUUUGGUUGUUGACCCUAAUUUUUCGGUACUUCUCCUCACUAGGAUUUUUGGCAACAUUCCCUAUGUAAGUGAGGAGAGUCUGGAAUGCUCUCUUCACUUUAGCAUCAUCAUCCUUGUGAGUCUGCUUAAGAGUUCUCAAACACUCUCUCAUUUGCUCAACUUUUGUGGCAGGCCUAACAGGCAAGGAGCUCUUUUUCUCCUCUACAACAGGUGCUGAAGGUUUUACAGUUGCAGGAUCUUCUGGUGGCAAUCCAAGCCUCCUUCUUCUUUCUGCCUUGUCCUCUUCCAACUUCUGACGAAUUUUUUCCCUUGCCCUCUUCUCUUCUUCUUUCUCUGCCUUUCGCAGGGCCAGUAAACGUUUUCUUUCAUUUUCUUCCUCAAUUCGUUUAGCUUCUAGGAGUUCCUUGCCAAUUCGAAUUCUCUCCUUUUCCCUCUCUCUUUCCAUUCUCUUCUCUUCCUCUUCCUUCUUCUUGCGAGCACGCUCCUUUAGCUCUUGUGCUUUGAGAUUCAUUUCUUCUGGUGUAAGAGUAGGUUUAGGAGCCUCAGCUUUGGUGUUAGCAGGUAUCAAGGGCAUUUCAUCUAUGUCUGGGUCAUUCUCAUGCUCAACUACCCAAUUUACAGCAGCUUCAACACUGGCAUUACCAGAAUAAUGAAUUGCUCGGGUUGCCCGUGCCUUAGGGAAACCCAUUCCUUCCAGUUCCUCAAGGAGCUUUUGGUCAACCUCUGGAGCAACCAUUUCUUCAGGCUGGCUACUGGUGCUUGCAUCAACCGGCUCAUCGACAUCCAGUGGUGGCUUUGGAACCUCUAGACUGGUUGGUUUUGCUGCCUCAGAAGUCUUAUCUACAAAAUCUGUAUGCCCAGUUCUCUUUGUAUGCAGAUCACUUUCCUUCAUGACAAGAAAAAACCAAAACCCCACUAGCUCUUCAGCUGAAUAACGAGAAAAAUAGAAGGAAAGGAAAAUUCUAUAAACUUAAGUUACUUGGUUAAGGUUUAAUUCUUGCCGAUCAAAACAUCCAAAAACAACAAAUGAGAUUUAAUCCCAAACUCCAUCAAAAUGUCCAACUUCAUAUAAAAUCCAACAGAUACUAUAUCAAGCUUUAGACUGAAUGUGAUAGAUUCGAAAGUAACUAGCACAACUCCGAUUCCCUUCAAGCUCCCAGAAGUCAAUUCCCACAUAAUAUUACAGCGUUAUUCAAAAUUCCACAAUCCCACCACACACACGCAGACAAAAAUAAAAACUUGCACACUCCAAAAGAUUUAGUUCCACAAUAACCCCAAUUUUGUGGAAAUCCCAGACAAUGUUCUCAGGUUAAAAAAGGGGGAAGGGGGGGGUGGCGGGAAGUUAAACCAUACUGUUUUGGAUCUGCAAGGUUUGCCGCAAGUAGUGCAAACGAGAUUGAGGACAGCCUCAGUGGACUCGUAGAAGUUGGAGUGAGAGGUCAGCUCCGCGUGCUCCUGGGCCUCCAGUACAGACUUCAAGAGGGCCCCACAGUCCCCACACUUCAAGGAUACUCCCGCCAUUGAAUGAUCGAUCGGGCCGUCGAUAUGAGAAGUAAGAAUAGAUGUGCAAUGCAAAGUUUAAAGCGGAGAACUUCAGUACAGGUGAGUCCUUGCAGUGUUGGGGUUGGUAAUUGGCAGAAUAGGCUUUGGCUUGCUGAUGAGGGAGUUGAAAUAUGGGGGUGUUUG